AACGAACGCUGGCGGCAUGCCUAACACAUGCAAGUCGAACGAGACCUUCGGGUCUAAUGGCGCACGGGUGCGUAACGCGUGGGAACCUGCCCUUAGGUUCGGAAUAACUCCCCGAAAGGGGUGCUAAUACCGGAUAAUGUCUUCGGACCAAAGAUUUAUCGCCUUUGGAUGGGCCCGCGUUGGAUUAGCUAGUUGGUAGGGUAAAAGCCUACCAAGGCGAUGAUCCAUAGCUGGUCUGAGAGGAUGAUCAGCCACACUGGGACUGAGACACGGCCCAGACUCCUACGGGAGGCAGCAGUGGGGAAUAUUGGACAAUGGGCGAAAGCCUGAUCCAGCAAUGCCGCGUGAGUGAUGAAGGCCUUAGGGUUGUAAAGCUCUUUUACCCGGGAUGAUAAUGACAGUACCGGGAGAAUAAGCUCCGGCUAACUCCGUG
rnacentral:rRNA from 1 species